rnacentral:rRNA from 1 species
CCCUUAGAUGUUCUGGGCCGCACGCGCGCUACAAUGAUGAAUUCAACGAGUUUAUAACCUUGGUUGAAAAGCCUGGGUAAUCUUUUGAACUUUCGUCGUGAUGGGGCUAGACCCUUGCAAUUAUUGGUCUCCAACGAGGAAUUCCUAGUAAACGCAAGUCAUCAGCUUGCAUUGAUUACGUCCCUGCCCUUUGUACACACCGCCCGUCGCACCUACCGAUUGAAUGGUCCGGUGAAAUCUUCGGACUGCGCGGUCUGCAGUUUCUGCGUUCCGUGCGGAAAGUUGUGCAAACCUUAACAUUUAGAGGAAGGAGAAGUCGUAACA